rnacentral:rRNA from 1 species
AGAUUGAACGCUGGCGGCAGGCCUAACACAUGCAAGUCGAGCGGCAGCACGGGUACUUGUACCUGGUGGCGAGCGGCGGACGGGUGAGUAAUGCCUAGGAAUCUGCCUGGUAGUGGGGGAUAACGCUCGGAAACGGACGCUAAUACCGCAUACGUCCUACGGGAGAAAGCAGGGGGACCUUCGGGCCUUGCGCUAUCAGAUGAGCCUAGGUCGGAUUAGCUAGUUGGUGAGGUAAUGGCUCACCAAGGCGACGAUCCGUAACGUGGUCUGAGAGGAUGAUCAGUCACACUGGAACUGAGACGACGGUCCAGACUCCGUAACGGGG